GGAGCCAAUCCCAGAAACCCGAUCGUAGUCCGGAUCGCAGUCUGCAACUCGACUGCGUGAAGUCGGAAUCGCUAGUAAUCGCGGAUCAGCAUGUCGCGGUGAAUACGUUCCCGGGUCUUGUACACACCGCCCGUCACACCAUGGGAGUGGGUUUUACCAGAAGUAGUUAGCCUAACCGCAAGGGGGGCGAUUACCACGGUAGGAUUCAUGACUGGGGUGAAGUCGUAACAAGGUAGCCGUAUCGGAAGGUGCGGCUGGAUCACCUCCUUU
rnacentral:ncRNA from 1 species